rnacentral:SRP_RNA from 1 species
CCGUGCUAGGUGGGGAGCUAGCGGUUCCCUGUACCCGCAACCCGCUACAGCGGGGCUGAACUCCCGCCCGAGGCUUCACCCUUCAGGGCCGGGUCUGUGCAAGCGGCAAGGAGGGCCGGGUCCCGCGCAACGAGAUCUUACCAAACCCGCCAGGUCCGGAAGGAAGCAACGGUACGUAAGGCGUCUCGUGUGCCGCGGGGAUACCUGGCCGGAGCUGGCUGCAUGGGAACCGCCUGGAGGAGGUUGUCGACGGCGGGUGCACGG